rnacentral:rRNA from 1 species
UACGUAGGGCGCAAGCGUUGUCCGGAAUUAUUGGGCGUAAAGAGCUCGUAGGCGGUUUGUCGCGUCUGCUGUGAAAACGCGAGGCUCAACCUCGCGCCUGCAGUGGGUACGGGCAGACUGGAGUGCGGUAGGGGAGACUGGAAUUCCUGGUGUAGCGGUGGAAUGCGCAGAUAUCAGGAGGAACACCGGUGGCGAAGGCGGGUCUCUGGGCAGUAACUGACGCUGAGGAGCGAAAGCGUGGGGAGCGAACAGG